GGCGAGAUCCGACGGCGGCACUGCGGACUCGUUUAGGGCCCUAGCUUGCAGUAGAUGCAAAACGAAACCUAGGUGGCGCACUUGGGUUUUAUAAAGGCGUUCAACGCGCGCGCGAGGGCAACAAAUCCUAUCUAAAACGGGGAAGAUUUGCUCGGAUCGCGUGGGGAUGUCCUGCUCGAACACGGCUUGAGGUAGGGGAUGAAUCGGCUGACAUGUGGGCCCGGAGAUCAGUGAGACAAGGAGGAAAGGAGGGGAGGCGCGCGCUGGGCUGGUCUGGUGGGCCGGAGAAAAACAGGCCGCGGGAGAUGGAUGCGGGUGGGAGCGUGGGCCACGGCCUGGUUCCAGGGAGGCUUUCUCCCCCCGUUUUUUUUCUUUUCUUUUUAUUUUCUUUUUCAAAGAGAAUUUUGAACAUAAAGAAAUGAG
rnacentral:lncRNA from 1 species